rnacentral:sRNA from 1 species
CCCCGCCUGGGGAGUACGACCGCAAGGUUAAAACUCAAAUGAAUUGACGGGGACCCGCACAAUUAGUGGAGCAUGUGGUUUAAUUCGAAGAUACGCGCAGAACCUUACCAACACUUGACAUGUUCGUCGCGACUUUAAGAGAUUAAAGUUUUCGGUUCGGCCGGACGAAACACAGGUGCUGCAUGGCUGUCGUCAGCUCGUGUCGUGAGAUGUUGGGUUAAGUCCCGCAACGAGCGCAACCCUCACUUUUAGUUGCCAUCAUUUAGUUGGGCACUCUGAAAGAACUGCCAGUGAUAAGCUGGAGGAAGGUGGGGAUGACGUCAAGUCCUCAUGGCCCUUACGUGUUGGGCUACACACGUGCUACAAUGGCAUUUACAACAGGAAGCAAGACGGCGACGUCAAGCAAAUCCUAAAAAGAUGCCUCAGUUCGGAUUGUACUCUGCAACUCGAGUACAUGAAGCUGGAAUUACUAGUAAUCGCGGAUCAGCGCGCCGCGGUGAAUACGUUCCCGGGUCUUGUACACACCGCCCGUCACACCAUGGGAGUUGGUUCUACCUUAAGGCAAGGUUUAAAACCCUUGACCACGGUAUAGUCAGCGACUGGGGUGAAGUCGUAACAAGGUAGCCGUAGGGGAACCUGCGGCUGGAUUACCUCCUUUCUAAGGAUGAUUAAGAAACUUUUUCUUAAUCUAAAUAAUAUAACAGGCUAAUGUUGACCGUCCUCAUUUCUCUUCUUGAAAUUAGUGUUUCACUCUUCUGCGAAAAGGGCCGGUAGCUCAGUUGGUUAGAGCACACCCUUGAUAAGGGUGGGGUCGAAAGUUCGAGUCUUUCUCGGCCCACCAAUUAAAGAUCAUGGGGGAUUAGCUCAGCUGGGAGAGCGCCUGAUUUGCAUUCAGGAGGUCAGCGGUUCGAUCCCGCUAUCCUCCACCAAACACUUAGUUAUAAAAAAUUGUGAAAAAUAAUUAAUUAAUAUCAAUAUCUAUAUCCGAACAUUAGUAAUGUUAUUAGCUAAUGUUCAAAAUAAAAAUUUGAUUCAACACAGGAUUUUUUUCUG